GAUGAACGCUGGCGGCGUGCCUAAUACAUGCAAGUCGAGCGAACGGACGAGAAGCUUGCUUCUCUGAUGUUAGCGGCGGACGGGUGAGUAACACGUGGAUAGCCUACCUAUAAGACUGGGAUAACUUCGGGAAACCGGAGCUAAUACCGGAUAAUAUUUUGAACCGCAUGGUUCAAAAGUGAAAGACGGUCUUGCUGUCACUUAUAGAUGGAUCCGCGCUGCAUUAGCUAGUUGGUAAGGUAACGGCUUACCAAGGCAACGAUGCAUAGCCGACCUGAGAGGGUGAUCGGCCACACUGGAACUGAGACACGGUCCAGACUCCUACGGGAGGCAGCAGUAGGGAAUCUUCCGCAAUGGGCGAAAGCCUGACGGAGCAACGCCGCGUGAGCGAUGAAGGUCUUCGGAUCGUAAAACUCUGUUAUUAGGGAAGAACAUAUGUGUAAGUAACUGUGCACAUCUUGACGGUACCUAAUCAGAAAGCCACGGCUAACUACGUG
rnacentral:rRNA from 1 species